GUGUCCCUCGCCAAGGCCCCGUCGGCCGUCCGCCUCCGUGUCCGCUGCGAGCUCGCCGCCAUCCCCGUGCUCUCCUUCUCCGGGGAGAAGGUGGGUGACGUCCCCCUCGACCUCAAGUCCGCCCCCUCCGACACUGCCCGUGCCGUCGUCCACCGCGGCCUUGUCGCCGAGCAGCAGAACCAGCGCCGCGGCACCGCUUCCACCCUCACCCGCGGCGAGGUCCGCGGUGGAGGGAAGAAGCCCUACCCCCAGAAGAAGACCGGCGGCGCCCGCCGCGGAUCCCAGCGCACCCCGCUUCGCCCCGGCGGUGGCGUCGUCUUCGGCCCCAAGCCGCGCGACUGGAGCGUCAAGAUCAACCGCAAGGAGAAGCGCCUCGCUCUGUCCACUGCCCUCGCCAGCGCCGCCUCGGCCGCCGACGCCCUUGUGGUGGAGGACUUCGGCCAGGAGUUCGAGGCCGGGCCCAAGACCAAGGAGUUCGUGGCGGCCAUGCGGAGGUGGGGGCUCGACCCCAAGCGGAAGGCCAUGUUCCUGUUGACGGAGGUGUCGGAUAACGUCCUGCUCUCCUGCAGGAACAUUGGGACCAUCAAGUUGCUAACCCCCA
rnacentral:lncRNA from 1 species